UACGUAGGGUGCAAGCGUUGUCCGGAAUUAUUGGGCGUAAAGAGUUCGUAGGCGGUUUGUCGCGUCCGUUGUGAAAGCUUGGGGCUCAACCCCAAGUCUGCAGUGGAUACGGGCAGACUAGAGUCAGGUAGGGGAGAACGGAAUUCCAGGUGGAGCGGUGAAAUGCGUAGAGAUCUGGAAGAACACCAAAGGCGAAGGCAGCGUCCUGGCAAGCAUCUGACGCUCAUGGGCGAAAGCUAGGGGAGCGAACGGG
rnacentral:rRNA from 1 species